UCCCUGGUGGCCUAAUGGUUAAGGCUCCUGCGCGCUCACCACUGUGGCCCAGGUUUGAUCCCUGGGCAGGGAA